rnacentral:rRNA from 1 species
GUGGGGAAUCUUCCGCAAUGGACGAAAGUCUGACGGAGCGACGCCGCGUGAGUGAUGAAGGCCUUCGGGUCGUAAAGCUCUGUCAUCGGGGACGAACGGCCUCAGCAGGUAAUGGCUGGGGAUUGACGGUACCCGAGAAGGAAGCCACGGCUAACUACGUGCCAGCAGCCGCGGUAAUACGUAGGUGGCAAGCGUUGUCCGGAAUUAUUGGGCGUAAAGCGCGCGCAGGUGGGAUCUUAAGUCCAUUUUGAAAGUUCGGAGCUCAACUCCGUGAUGGGAUGGAAACUGUGAUUCUUGAGUACCGGAGAGGAAAGCGGAAUUCCCCGUGUAGCGGUGAAAUGCGUAGAUAUGGGGAGGAACACCAGUGGCGAAGGCGGCUUUCUGGACGGUGUCUGACACUGAGGCGCGAAAGCCAGGGGAGCUAACGGGAUUAGAAACCCCAGUAGUCC